rnacentral:lncRNA from 1 species
GAGUUAGUAAUUGGUAAUUAUUAUUAAAUAAUUCUCUGUGAGUUCGACACUCUCUUAUCAUUAUAUUACUUGUGGAUUGUGUAUACUUGCGUAUUUUGCUAGUAUAGAUUUAGGCAAACAUCUAGUAGUGAAAAGUGGACAAAUUUUGACACUUUUUGAGUUUGAUUAGGAGGAAAUACACAAUUUAGAAAUUUUAAUUCCUGUAUUGGAUGGAUUAUCUAAGAAGUAACCUUUGUGGUUAUUGUGCAUGUGAGAAAGUACUGACUGCCAAUGGAAGUGUUGAUGUAUACAUCAGUUCCUAAAUUUUGUCUUGUGAGAUGCUCAAUCUAAUCUACUCCAUUUCGCACACCAAGCUUGUUAGUCUAGGAUGUUGUUUUGUUUUUUUACAAAUAACGAAAAAUUGGAUUAAGUUUUUGAAUUUAUGUUUAUUUCUCAGGCAAGGGGAAUACUAACAGAAUAAGAGAAGGUUUCGUAUAAAAUAAAUCUAUUUACACCUUUUUCUUUGGGUAUAAAUAUAGAAGAUUUUUAAGGUCAUUACAACUGACCUUACAAAGGAACUUCCGUACGAAUUUCAUAAUUAAAAAAUGACUGGUGAAACACUUAAAUUUCUUUCAAUAUCCAUUUCUUUGCUUACCCUACCAGUUUCUCUUUCCUAAUUUUUUUCACCUAACCCAAAGGAGUAAGGUUCUCCCACUCCAACCUGCAUUAAAUUAGUCCUGAUUCCUAACUAUGGACAUAAAUAGGAGCAUCAAGGCAAGACACAACACCUGGUAACUAUAUAAAAUACACCACAAAUUAGAUUAGAGUGAUUUCAAUAUAGGCAAUCAGCAAGUGUUAUUGGUGGAAUGGAGUGAUGAGCAAAGCCAGCUAAGUGAGAUGCAUUUUGGAGACCUAAACUCCCAAAAGGAUCACCAACAGAGAUGUACACUAGACUACUAGAGAUUAACAGCUUUACAUAAUAUUCUAGUUUUUUGCCCCCAUUUAGUUAUAUUUUACAAAUGAAACAUAUGCUGAAAACACAGAAUGUGCUGCCAUCUAUACAUAUCAAGAUUAAGAUCUAUACAGCCACGACCUACAUAGUAGGACAGGCUAUUCAACAAUUGUUUUUCUUUUCUUUUCUUUUUUUUCCUGUUAACUGGCUAUUCGACAAUUGUGUGAUUGUAAGCCAUCAUUGCUGGCAAUAGUUUCUUCACUUUAGAAAAGAAUAACAAUCUGAUGCACAAUACCUAAACUUUGUCGAUAAUAAUCUACAACAAAAGCUACAUACCUUGCGUGUUUGAAGUUGAUUAAGUGAUGUACGAAGAGAAAUUUCCAUUUGCCCCAGAUGUUCUAUGCUUUCAAUCUUAUCCAGGGUAGUCCAAUUACUGCAGAAUCCAUACAUAAGAAAAUUAGUGUAUUUGAUUAUAAUUAUAAACAUAAAUUGUACUACAUAGGUCUGAAGAAGUAAUCCAUGCCUUAAAAAAUACUGGACCUACAUAUUUACAGGAAGAGAUAGUUAUCAAAGUACAACAAUGAUACAAUGCACACAGAAACUUUUCUUUCUUUCUUUCUUUUGGGGAUCGCAGCAUCUGGGGGCAGAGAGACAUUGAUACUAAAAAACGGCAACAAAAUCUAAAAAGUGGUACUAGUGUUAUAUAAAACAAAGAUCCAAG